rnacentral:rRNA from 1 species
AGUCGGACGGGACCAUCGGAGAGCUUGCUCGAAGAUGGUGAGAGUGGCGCACGGUUGUNUAACGCGUGAGCAACCUACCUCUAUCAGGGGGAUAGCCUCUCGAAAGAGAGAUUAACACCGCAUAACAUCAACAGUUCGCAUGUUCAGUUGAUUAAAUAUUUAUAGGAUAGAGAUGGGCUCGCGUGACAUUAGCUAGUUGGUAGGGUAACGGCUUACCAAGGCGACGAUGUCUAGGGGCUCUGAGAGGAGAAUCCCCCACACUGGUACUGAGACACGGACCAGACUCCUACGGGAGGCAGCAGUAAGGAAUAUUGGUCAAUGGGCGGAAGCCUGAACCAGCCAUGCCGCGUGCAGGAUGACUGCCCUAUGGGUUGUAAACUGCUUUUGUCCAGGAAUAAACCUCUUUACGAGUAUAUAGCUGAAUGUACUGGAAGAAUAAGGAUCGGCUAACUCCGUGCCAGCAGCCGCGGUAAUACGGAGGAUCCGAGCGUUAUCCGGAUUUAUUGGGUUUAAAGGGUGCGUAGGCGGCCUAUUAAGUCAGGGGUGAAAUACGGUGGCUCAACCAUCGCAGUGCCUUUGAUACUGAUGGGCUUGAAUCCAUUUGAAGUGGGCGGAAUAAGACAAGUAGCGGUGAAAUGCAUAGAUAUGUCUUAGAACUCCGAUUGCGAAGGCAGCUCACUAAGCUGGUAUUGACGCUGAUGCACGAAAGCGUGGGGAUCGAACAGGAUUAGAUACCCUGGUAGUCCACGCCCUAAACGAUGAUAACUCGAUGUUGGCGAUAGACAGCCAGCGUCCAAGCGAAAGCGUUAAGUUAUCCACCUGGGGGAGUACGCCCG